rnacentral:rRNA from 1 species
UGGGGGUGGGGCCGGUCAGGUGGUUGGGUGUAGGAGGGCAUGAUGAGAUGAUGCAUGCAUGCACGGGAGGGGUGAGCGCGCGUCGGCGCCGAUUGAAAUAAGGACCGCCGCCGUAGCCGCCGCCCUAGGUAGACCAUGGCGUGGCGCAUGAGGAAGAGGAUCACGGCACGCACGGGCUCUCCUUGCCCUCUCACUAGGCCUCGGCGAGUAGCUGACUGACGAACAGCCGGCCCGGGAUAGCGGUACCCUCUAGCGGAGGCGCGCGGAGGCUCGAUCGCUCCUCAACUAGGCUCCAAGCACCGAGGGCAGCGAGGCGGGGCAGGGGCAGCGGCCGGCCAAGGAACCAACCACGCAUACGCCGCCUCCCAGACUCCUAACGGCUCGCUCGACCAACACCGGUACCUCGUAGGCUACGUUUCCUCGCUGCUCCCGCCGGACGCCCCGUCGUCGUACGCACGGCUGUACCUGCUCGACCUAGAGUACCUCCUCAAGGACGACCGCAGCGGGCCCGGGCUGAAGGGGCUCAAGGACGUGGGGCCGCCGCGGAGCGGCUCGGGGAAGAGGGGCGACAAGCUGGAGCCGUCGUGGUAGUGGUGGCGGGGCCGGCGGCCUCCGCCGCUGCUGCUGCCGCUCCUGCCCCCGCUCCUCAGCGCGGCGCGCACCGACUAGGUCGGCGUCCUCCGCGGCCGGAGCCACUUCCUCGCCGACCCCGCGCGCGACGUCCCGUAGCGCAGCGCCAGCGCGCCGCGCCGCCCGCUCGACGACCACGUCCACACCCACGGGUGCACGUAGCCGCUGGCGGUCCACGAGUGGUGGACGCCGGUCGGGAAGACCGAGCUGGCGGCGUCGCUGGCGGAGCUCUCGAUGGCGUGGCACAGGCAGUUCAUGGUCAAGAGGCGGCUGCUCUGGAGGACGCGACUCGACCCCGAGGGGCCGGCCCAGAAGCAGCCGGCGCAGGGGCUCACCUGCGGGCUGCACGCGGAGAAGUGGCUGUUGCUCAUGGGCGCGCAGGCGAUGCGCGUCGUGAAGCUGUAGGCGCCGUCGCAGCGGUACGGCCAGAAGCUCGCGGCGUGGCCGCGCACGGAGCCGCAGCAGCUCGAGCAGUACUGGUGGGUCUUCUAGUUGAUGUUGCGGCUCUAGCUGUUGUAGACGUUGCGAGAGUUCCUCCAACUAGAGUCUCCAAGACUACAAAGCUCGCUAGGAGCGCGUGUCCGGUUUUCCCGCUCGGCGGUGAGGCUGCUUUUUAUGUUCAUGACACAGAGGUGGCACCUGCUCCGCACAAUACAGGCGCUACGGCGAUACUGACCGAAAGUGGUCCGAACGAGACUCGUAGUAGACAAGUCCCCGCUCCCACAACAGCCGUGCCGCGAGCCCUGUUUGCUCGGCACAAAGACGGGCCUGUAUUGACGGAUGUCGUUCCAGGUUAUGGGAGAGAGCGUAAUACGUUUUGAAAAGCCGAAUUCCCGGCGCCACCGUUAAGCCGACGCUUCGCAGUUCUGGCCCUCAUACCUAGAAUAGAACCUUAAAAAGAACGGUUCGUUGACGUAUUUAUCACUUCUCGUUCCCUCGUACGAGUUAAGAGACAGGUUAUGGUAUGUUGUUCGGAGGACGUGUGACGCUCAACAGCCGCACUUUCUUGACCGCUUACUGCCUAGCGGACUUAGAUCGAGCGGCUGGGGGGGUCUUCAAACACUGUUCGGACGACUUUAGAACCUACUCGAGGUAUGAUCACCGUAGUUAUAAGGACGUUCCUGUUCUAGUCACCUACGAAGACUCCUCCAUAGAAGUACCUAACGUUCGGAACACCUACAAGUCUUAUCACCCCGCGUCCCUCUUUGUCUAACACCGGACGGUAAACCUAAUUCCUUUGUUCUCCUACUUCCCAAAUCACAUUGUCGACCGACCGGUUGAAGUGGCCACGAUCAUGGACUUCUAUUUUCAAAGAAAGGUCCCAAAUGUUUCGUACUUCUUAUACUCCAGUUCCCAAGUGGAAAAAGGUCACUAGCUUCGGAGAGUUUGAGCCUGUUUCAUUAUCUCUUCGCCGCUUGGUUUUAGCUCUUUUGACACUCGGACGUUCUUGAAUCCUUCGUAAAACGACCAUCAAACUUUCUUCGACGUUUCUUAAAUCCUCACACGGGAUGAUGUAACUUCUCUUAUACGUCUGUAGUACCUUAACUAGCAACCGGUAGUUCCUUCUAGUUCUUUCAACCCGUGAGAGAGUUCUUUAACGUUUACCAGUAACUAAGUCAUGUACCUCGACUUCCUUGUCAAGCCGACUCAAGCGAGAUACUUUUAAAGUGGUUCUGAUGUACCAGUCUUUCCCUCAACGUCCCUCUAGACUCAAUAGGUCGUAGUCUCGUUUUCCAAGUCGACCUCGGAAGUCAAGGACUAGCUGUCACGCUCUCGUCUAAGUCAGGCGUAUGGAGGCCGAGUUUAAGGGAGAGGAGGUGGAUGUCGGUCUCGAGUUUAAGAUCGGAACCGACAAGGUCGCUCGGUUUCGGAGUUGUUGUCGUUUCGUCGCGAGGAGUCGAACGCCACUUCGUCCUUAAAAAGUACCUCCUCUUAGUCUCGAGCUGUGUCUACUUUCGACGCUCGGUACUGCUUGACGCCAAUAAAUGACUUCUCUUUGGGCAGUGGGAAACAUCCAGAGUCUCAGUGUACGAUAAGUCACUUGUGUUUGGUUACCGUUUGUACAGUCCGUACGUUCUUCGAUUCGGACUAAGAGAGUUCUAUUUCCGGUACAUACCGCUCCUUUCUACGUAUAAGGCCGAAGUCGGCUCAACCCCGAAACUUUUCGAUUUCCUUCUUUAGCGUUUCGCCAAGCCGUAAAGAGUCCUUCAAAUACUGGAGUUCAUGAACCUACUACUCAGCCUCACCCAAGAAAACUGUACACUACGUCUGGAAGACCUCACAUAGCUACAUAUGUUCAGUAGUUCACGAUUUUGUCAGUCCUAGAGACACUUAGGACGUCAAGUUGGCUAUGAGGCACCAAGGAAGCCAAUUGGGCUACAUAUGUUACGAAGAAGUUGCAAGUUUUUGUUGGUAGGGUGGAAAGGUUCAUCAGUCACACGCAACUAUAGCGGAGCCAAAAGCCAGUACCACUAUCCAUGUCCGGUGUAAACAUUUAUAAACCUCAGACACCAGUUCUACGAACCACUCAAUAGACAGUCGGACCAGACACUAUUGACUUAUACUGUGAAACAUGAACAUCUGAUCCAGUAUAAGCCGGUAUCCCUUUGAGCAAAUGGUGUCAAUGGUUUGAUCACAUGUCUUAUCCCUUCUUAUCCUUAAACAGCUUUACUUCGAAGCGUAAUCCAGAUCUUGAGUACAAGUCCAAUGGACCGUUUACAUUCAAGAAAGACCCGAACAAACUUGGCAGAACGUUAAGACUUCGUGGAAGUUCCAAAGUUUGUAAGCUUUCGAACGAACUUCCGUACGCGGCACCUUAACUCUCUUAAUACAGAGCACGGAAGUGCCCAGUCAAACUCGCGGUGCUUCUACGUAGGAAAUGCCGCGACUUUACGGAAGAGAGAACAUACUCAUACUAUACUCGUCAGCCUAACAAAUCGACUGUCAUUCUUACGUAAGUAGCUAGUUCGAGUAGAGAGUACAGCUUUGACGUUAGGACGAACAAGGUCUAGUCACUUCCGAAAAAGCGUCGCAACCAGUACACAUUCCGUCCUCGGCAGAUCUGAGGAUCUGUGUCGAAGUCCGGCAGUUACCACGUAUUUCUACAAAAGGAAAAGAGUAUAAAAAAAAGAAACUCUUGUUACCUUACGAUCUCAAAAACCUCCAUUUUAAUGAUCGUAGUUUAAAUGUCGACAUGUAAACGAAGUCUUUAGUCUUGGACAUACGUUGGCAUACACUAACGAAAUAUCUGACUACAAAGAAA